rnacentral:lncRNA from 1 species
ACGCAAUAAGGAAUUGAUCCGCAAGCGCACGGAUAUCGGUGAGCACUUCACCUGGGAAAUUAUCCAGAGUAUCGUAUUUAUUUUUUUACCACUAGGAGAAAGAGUGCAUCUGACUAACUGGUCUAUUACUACUAACCUUUAGGCACAAAGAAUGUCUUUCGAUGUGAGUGAUAAAUAGAGAAGACUGCAACUGUAGUCUCCUUCUAACCUUGGUAAGGAUGAUCUACUGUUCUAAUGGGGAGGCU